rnacentral:rRNA from 1 species
UCGGAUCCACUAGUAACGGCCGCCAGUGUGCUGGAAUUCGCCCUUACGGCUCAGUAACACGUGGUCAACAUACCCAGAGGACGUGGAUAACCUCGGGAAACUGAGGAUAAACCGCGAUAGACCAUAAUGUCUGGAAUGAUUUAUGGUUCAAAUCUAUAUGGCCUCUGGAUUGGACUGCGGCCGAUCAGGCUGUUGGUGAGGUAAUGGCCCACCAAACCUGAAACCGGUACGGGCUCUGAGAGGAGAAGCCCGGAGAUGGGCACUGAGACAAGGGCCCAGGCCCUAUGGGGCGCAGCAGGCGCGAAAUCUUUGCAAUAGGCGAAAGCCUGACAAGGUUACUCUGAGUGAUCUCCGCUAAGGAAAUCUUUUGGCACCUCUAAAAAUGGUGCAGAAUAAGGGGUGGGCAAGCCUGGUGUCAGCCGCCGCGGUAAUACCAGCACCCCGAGUGGUCGGGACGAUUAUUGGGCCUAAAGCAUCCGUAGCCGGUUCUACAAGUCUUCCGUUAAAUCCACCUGCUCAACAGUUGGGCUGCGGAGGAUACUAUAGAGCUAGGAGGCGGGAGAGGCAAGCGGUACUCAGUGGGUAGGGGUAAAAUCCGUUGAUCCAUUGAAGACCACCAGUGGCGAAGGCGGCUUGCCAGAACGCACUCGACGGUGAGGGAUGAAAGCUGGGGGAGCAAACCGGAUUAGAUACCCCGGUAGUCCCAGCUGUAAACGAUGCAGACUCGGUGAUGAAUAGGCUUCGU